GCGGCGGCGGCGCCGAGAGCACCAGGCAAACUUUCACUUUCCCCAGCCGGCUCCGCCGGCCAGCUCCUCGGCACAGCCUUUUAAGCGACUUAGGCAUGUGGUUUAUGGGAAAUUACGUUGGACAGGCGCCAGACACACACACACACACACACAGGCGCGCAACACACACUCCAGAGGCCCACUGAGCCGCCUCCCCGCCCCCACCCUCGGGCUGGGCUUCCCCGCCCGUCUUGCAGUCGCCUCUUCUGCAGCUCAACUCCGCGCGCCCUCCAGCCCGCCACCGCCGCGCCGCUGGGGAAAGAGGUUUCCUUCCUUCCGCGCUCUCCAGGCGGAUCCGAAUGACUCUGAGCAGAAUCUAACAAGAUGCGUCUAUGAAUUACAAUGCCAACUCCAGCUCUUCCUUUCUUCAAUUCACUAUGAUUCAAUGUUUCAAUCCCACCGUGAGGCCACCCACCCACCCACCCCUGGGAAAUAUGAUAGGUGGCUGGUCCCAAAGAGGCAUCUCUUGUCACUUGCUCCGGCCUCAGGCAUGGGUUUUACACCUGCAUGCCCUUGCUGGGACUGGCCUCUCUGCUUGGACCGACCCCACCUGUCUUCAAGGCAAAGUCCCCGUCCUCAAGGCUGAAACCACACCACAUCCUCCACCAGCCACGCCUCCAUCCACUCUCCUGGCAGAUCAACGGUUCCUUUUCCUGUGUUCCCACUGGACUUGGCUCCUUCCUCCCUCGGGGCUCUCACAAGCUGUUUGCCAUUUCGUGGAUUGACUCAUUCUCUGCAUUAUUCUAAAAAGUAUUAAAGUGGUACUGACAGUCA